rnacentral:sRNA from 1 species
UGAGAUUUUCAUAGAUUCUUCAAAUUUCUCAACUUUGACUUUCAAUUACACAAUGGUCAUUGACAAUGACCAUUGUGACGUGUUAGCACCCGUUAGUAGUCAACUUACGCAACCAAUCCUCUACCACUCCACGCUUGCGUCACAAGUUGCGUGCUCCCCUCCUCACAAUUAUCUGCAAUCAUAUAGUCCCUAACAAUUCCUUCAUGUAACUCUUAAAUGUUCUUCCACUCUGUGCCUCAUCUUGAUAUAAUCUUUAAUAUUCUUUCAUUCUAAUUCCUUUUCUAUAAGAAUCUCUUUGUGCAACUCUUUCUUCUAAUCUUUUUUCUCUUUUCUUUCUUAAUCAAUCCAUAAUCUGUAAAUAGAAUAAUGCUU